rnacentral:rRNA from 1 species
UCAAAAACAUGUCUUUUUGAUAAUAAUUUAAAGUCUAAUCUGCCCACUGAUAAAUUAUUAAAGGGCUGCAGUAUAUUGACUGUACAAAGGUAGCAUAAUCAUUUGUCUUUUAAUUGAAGACUUGUAUGAAAGAUUUGAUGAAAUAUAAACUGUCUCUAAAUUAUAAAUAAAAAUUAAUUUUUUAGUUAAAAAGCUAAAAUGAUAUUAAAAGACGAGAAGACCCUAUAAAGUUUAAUAAUUUAUUUAUUUAUUUUUAAUUUUGAGUUAUAAAUAAUGUAAUUAAAUAAAUUAUUUUAUUGGGGUGAUAAAAAAAUUAAAUAAACUUUUUUUUUAAUAAAACAUUUAUAAGUGAGAAUUUGAUCCAUUAUUAAUGAUUAAAAGAAAAAAUUACUUUAGGGAUAACAGCGUAAUAUUUUUUUUUAGUACGAAUAAAAAAAAAAGUUUGCGACCUCAAUGUUGGAUUAAGAUAAAAUUUAAAUGCAAAAGUUUAAAAUUUUGAUCUGUUCGAUCAUUAAAAUCUUACAUGAUCUGAGCU